rnacentral:rRNA from 1 species
AUUAUUUAAGAGCUUAACAUUGUAAGUAAAUAAUAAUUAUGAAAGCAAAAAAUUAUGGCGGUAUUUUAAGCUUUUCAGAGGAAUUUGCUCUUUAAUGGAUAAAACACCAAAAUCUUACUUAGAUUUGUGAUUUCAAUUUGUAUACCACUAUUAAAACAAUUUAUAACUUUAAUUGUUUAAAUUUACAAAACUAAAAUAUAUUAAGUCAAGGUGCAGUAAAAAUUUAAGGAUGAAGUGAAUUACAUUACUUUUUAGUGAGAUAAGUUUAUAACAAUAUUUAGGAUUUGAAAGUAAAA